rnacentral:piRNA from 1 species
UAGAAUAUUUCUGGAAUACUAUAACUUUGU